GUCCCCCCCCAGACAGGCUCCGUUCUUGUGCUCGGAACAGCCUACGUCUUGGGCAUCACCGAAGCUCACAGAGGAGGGGCCCGAGGCUCUUGAGAGGUGACCUGUGGGCCCUGUUCAGCGGGUGGAGAAGCAUCCAGCAGUCCUUGAGGACCCAAGACUGGAGAUUUUAGAGGUUGGAGGUAAACAUUCUCAGUGCUGUUCGUGGGCCUAAGCUGCAAUUGGCACUUCGAGAAAGUAAAGACAACUGGCAAACCAGCUCCUGUCUGUAAGCCGUAGGAAUGAAAUAAAGCGCCCCCAGAGCGUCACCUCCCGUUUCCAGCCAUCUGUUGCCAAAGAUAUUACAUGUUUAUUACAAGACUCAGUGCCUAUAAAGCAGGUGUCUCGUGGGUGAAUGAACUGUAUAACCUCAAAAUAUUUACUUGGGCCCAUUUUAUUCCCUGGAACAGAAGCUUCUUCCUGUCGGCAGCCUUCUGUUUGGCUUUUCUACUUAGUUCUGAUCCCGUACAUUGCCGUUCCUUUUGAAGUUUUCCAGCAUGUUUUAUCAGAGGAACCGCCCCACACCAGGCUCUGUAUUCUGAGUUUUGUGGCUGUAGAGAUGGGCAGACCUGUCCACACAGAACUCUUCGCCCGCUGGAACAUCACUGUGACCCGUAAACUACCUGUGUACAUUAAGUGAUGCGGCCACUGAUCCCACAUGACACAUGAAUAUAUCUUUCAUCAUUGGAAAGGUUUAAAAUAAAUGUGUAUUUGUAUUAAA